rnacentral:rRNA from 1 species
GACGAACGCUGGCGGCGUGCUUAACACAUGCAAGUCGAACGGAAAGGCCCUGCUUUUGUGGGGUGCUCGAGUGGCGAACGGGUGAGUAACACGUGAGUAACCUGCACUUGACUUUGGGAUAACUUCAGGAAACUGGGGCUAAUACCGGAUAGGAGCUCCUGCUGCAUGGUGGGGGUUGGAAAGUUUCGGCGGUUGGGGAUGGACUCGCGGCUUAUCAGCUUGUUGGUGGGGUAGUGGCUUACCAAGGCUUUGACGGGUAGCCGGCCUGGGAGGGUGACCGGCCACAUUGGGACUGAGAUACGGCCCAGACUCCUACGGGAGGGAGCAGUGGGGAAUAUUGCACAAUGGGCGGAAGCCUGAUGCAGCAACGCCGCGUGCGGGAUGACGGCCUUCGGGUUGUAAACCGCUUUCGCCUGUGACGAAGCGUGAGUGACGGUAAUGGGUAAAGAAGCCCCGGCUAACUACGUG